rnacentral:tRNA from 1 species
GGGCCUAUAGUGCAACCUGGAUAACACGCACCGCUUCGGACGGUGAAAUGGGGGUUCAAAUCCUCCUAGGCCCA